rnacentral:rRNA from 1 species
CCUACGGGAGGCAGCAGUGAGGAAUAUUGGUCAAUGGACGAGAGUCUGAACCAGCCAAGUAGCGUGAAGGAUGACUGCCCUAUGGGUUGUAAACUUCUUUUAUAUGGGAAUAAAAUGUUCCACGUGUGGGAUUUUGUAUGUACCAUAUGAAUAAGGAUCGGCUAACUCCGUGCCAGCAGCCGCGGUAAUACGGAGGAUCCGAGCGUUAUCCGGAUUUAUUGGGUUUAAAGGGAGAGUAGGUGGAUUGUUAAGUCAGUUGUGAAAGUUUGCGGCUUAACCGUAAAAUUGCAGUUGAAACUGGCAGUCUUGAGUACAGUAGAGGUGAGCGGAAUUCGUGGUGUAGCGGUGAAAUGCUUAGAUAUCACGAAGAACUCCGAUUGCGAAGGCAGUUCACUGGACUGCAACUGACACUGAGGCUCGAAAGUGUGGGUAUCAAACAGGAUUAGAUACCCUUGUAGUC